CUAGAUGAAUGGGUGGGGAGCUUUGGGGCUAAAAGGAAGAAAUUGAUCUUUGUAGGGGUAGCCGCUUUAAUUUGGAGCAUAUGGAAAACCAGGAACCUAGCUUGUUUUCAACAUGUCUGGCCUGCUGAUCCUAGUGUAGUAAUUUUUAAGAUGACACAUUGGAUUAAUGACUGGAGUAACUUGCAGGUGAGGGAGGACGCAAAAAUGGAACUACAAUAG
rnacentral:rRNA from 1 species